rnacentral:rRNA from 1 species
UUGGAACCACCUGAUCCCAUCCCGAACUCAGAAGUGAAACGAUGCAUCGCCGAUGGUAGUGUGGGGUUUCUCCAUGUGAGAGUAGGUCAUCGUCAAGA